rnacentral:rRNA from 1 species
AUUGAACGCUGGCGGCAUGCCUUACACAUGCAAGUCGAGCGGCAGCACGGGUGCUUGCCCCUGGUGGCGAGUGGCGAACGGGUGAGUAAUACAUCGGAACAUGUCCUGUAGUGGGGGAUAGCCCGGCGAAAGCCGGAUUAAUACCGCAUACGAUCUACGGAUGAAAGCGGGGGACCUUCGGGCCUCGCGCUAUAGGGUUGGCCGAUGGCUGAUUAGCUAGUUGGUGGGGUAAAGGCCUACCAAGGCGACGAUCAGUAGCUGGUCUGAGAGGACGACCAGCCACACUGGGACUGAGACACGGCCCAGACUCCUACGGGAGGCAGCAGUGGGGAAUUUUGGACAAUGGGCGAAAGCCUGAUCCAGCAAUGCCGCGUGUGUGAAGAAGGCCUUCGGGUUGUAAAGCACUUUUGUCCGGAAAGAAAUCCUUGGCCCUAAUACGGUCGGGGGAUGACGGUACCGGAAGAAUAAGCACCGGCUAACUACGUG